AUUGAACGCUGGCGGCAUGCUUUACACAUGCAAGUCGAACGGUAACAGGUUAAGCUGACGAGUGGCGAACGGGUGAGUAAUGCAUCGGAACGUGCCCGGUCGUGGGGGAUAACGCAGCGAAAGCUGCGCUAAUACCGCAUACGAUCUGAGGAUGAAAGCGGGGGACCGUAAGGCCUCGUGCGAUCGGAGCGGCCGAUGUCAGAUUAGGUAGUUGGUGGGGUAAAGGCUCACCAAGCCAACGAUCUGUAGCUGGUCUGAGAGGACGACCAGCCACACUGGGACUGGGACACGGCGCAGACUCCUACGGGAGGCAGCAGUGGGGAAUUUUGGACAAUGGGCGAAAGCCUGAUCCAGCAAUGCCGCGUGCAGGAAGAAGGGCUUCGGGUUGUAAACUGCUUUUGUACGGAGCGAAAAGGUCUCCUCUAAUACAGGGGGCUCAUGACGGUACCGUAAGAAUAAGCACCGGCUAACUACGUGCCAGCAGCCGCGGUAA
rnacentral:rRNA from 1 species